AUACGUAGGGGGCGAGCGUUGUCCGGAAUGAUUGGGCGUAAAGGGCGCGUAGGCGGCGCGGUAAGUCUGGAGUGAAAGUCCUGCUUUCAAGGUGGGAAUUGCUUUGGAUACUGCCGCGCUUGAGUGCAGGAGAGGUUAUCGGAAUUCCCGGUGUAGCGGUGAAAUGCGUAGAGAUCGGGAGGAACACCAGUGGCGAAGGCGGGUAACUGGACUGCAACUGACGCUGAGGCGCGAAAGUGUGGGGAGCAAACAGGAUUAGAUACCCUGGUAGUCCACACUGUAAACGAUGAAUGCUAGGUGUAAGAGGUAUCGACCCCUUUUGGCCGGAGUCAACACAAUAAGCAUUCCGCCUGGGGAGUACGGCCGCAAGGUUGAAACUCAAAGGAAUUGACGGGG
rnacentral:rRNA from 1 species